rnacentral:rRNA from 1 species
AGCGGCGGACGGGUGAGUAACGCGUGGGCAACCUGCCCCAUACAGGGGGACAACGGCCGGAAACGGCCGCUAAUACCGCAUGAUUCCUCUUGGCCGCAUGGCCGGGAGGGGAAAGCCGAGACGGUAUGGGAUGGACCCGCGUCUGAUUAGCUGGUUGGCGAGGUAACGGCUCACCAAGGCGACGAUCAGUAGCCGGCCUGAGAGGGCGACCGGCCACAUUGGGACUGAGACACGGCCCAAACUCCUACGGGAGGCAGCAGUGGGGAAUAUUGCACAAUGGGGGAAACCCUGAUGCAGCGACGCCGCGUGAAGGACGAAGUAUUUCGGUACGUAAACUUCUAUCAGCAGGGAAGAAAAUGACGGUACCUGACCAAGAAGCCCCGGCUAACUACGUGCCAGCAGCCGCGGUAAUACGUAGGGGGCAAGCGUUAUCCGGAUUUACUGGGUGUAAAGGGAGCGUAGACGGCCAUGCAAGUCUGAUGUGAAAACCCGGGGCUCAACCCCGGGACUGCAUUGGAAACUGUGCGGCUGGAGUGUCGGAAAGGCAAGUGGAAUUCCUAGUGUAGCGGUGAAUUGCGUAGAUAUUAGGAGGUACACCAGUGGCGAAGGCGGCUUGCUGGACNACNACUGACGUUGAGGCUCGAAAGCGUGGGGAGCAAACAGGAUUAGAUACCCUGGUA